AAGAAAUGUAAACAAUUCAUUGAAUUUGCAAUUACACGCACAUUUGGCACACACACACACAGCGCGAUGCGUGUAAUGUUUGCUGAAUGUGUUUGGGCCAACAUUCCCCGCGCAUUGUUUGUAUUUAUAUUGGAACGUAUCUCGCAGAUACGCGUCAUACAUAUCCGUGUGCGUAUGGCAGCCCCUCCCCCUUCGCCGCCGAUCCACCGCCCCCUUUUCGGGGAGUCGAAAGAGGGCGAGUGACGCCAUUUAAUGUUUGCACACAUCAUGACUCGCCCGAUACGCUUUUGUAAUCACAAACCAAUUGGAAAUACGUUUGGCAUCCGCACCAAAAACACAGUGAAAAAUAAAACACAAACACACGGAGUUUACACGCAGAUGUAAAUAAAUAAAUAACUGCGGUUCCCCCACCGAAAUGCCAUUGGGUUAAACCCGUUUAAACCGCCCGCGAUACUCCAAAUCGAACCUGGCCAUCUCUGCGGGAGGUACGAACUUAUCACGGGCUCCAACUGCAUUUGAGGUAAAAUGGCUGCCAGAGCUGCGGCCAGGACUUUUCGUUUUCCCGCCCCGGGAAAUGGAAAAUAGGAAGAGCAACUCUCUGAAAGCAAUUAAAGUCGCCCAGUCUGCGAAUGCCAGCGACGACUGCAGUUUGCAUUAGAAGCGAACCCCCGAACGACGCUUUCGGUUGUUGCAACAUCGCCAUGAUUAAUGACCAGACACUGGUUGCCCUUCUUCGAGCCACUGCCACAACCCCACCUUACCCCUUCCCCGUUACCAACCCAACCAACUUCUACCACCGAACCACCCACCUCCCCCUCUUCGGAUACCAUCAAGUGCCGAGCAAUUAUAAGCCAAAAACUGGCAACAUUGCGAGUCUCUGGCAGACGUCAAUCAGGCUGAGAAACCAGACUUGGUGCACUAUAAAAAAUUCAAAACAAAAUUUUAAAUGUGCCUAAAAGACAUAACAAUCAUAAUCACUAGAGCUAAAUUACAAAAAAGUACAUUUACCUUUCUUUACUUUAUGAUUAAAAUGCUUAAACUAUUUAUGUUGGUCUUAUAUUAUGUUCAAGCAAUUAUAUAAUUUUCUCUAACCACUAUAUAUUAAACAGAAAGUGGUUCUACUAAUACCCUGUAUUUUUCACAGUGCAAGAAAAUAGUUACUUAACUAUUCCACGCACCAAAGGCCAAAUUAAUAAAAUCAAAGCAGUAGCAACAAAAAUUUAAUAAAAUCUUACUCGCAAGAAAGAAUUCGGAUUGGAAGGAGGUCCUUGCUGAAUGGAUGGGGUAAAACUGCAGCACAGGACAUGGCGAGGUGGCGGGUGGAUGGGUGGUCGGGUGGUCGGGGGUCCGGCAAAGAAGAUUAAUGAUUGCAAUAAAUCCAGUGACAGACAGACACAGCCAGCGAGCGAAAGACGCACUAAUAGUGCUCACCAGCAAGGACACACAGGAUACUCCGCUGGCUGCUAAUAAUGCGCAAGUUGAGCCCAAGUUGAAGGAAUCGUGGCCAGCUUACGGAGACCACCAGCAGCUGGCUCCGCAUGUGAGCAUUCUCAUUGGGAUUGGGAUUGGGACUGCGAUGCGCUGUGGAUUGGAAAUGGUCCGGGGAAUGGCACCAUUACGCUGAUUAACACACACGCGCAGGGGUGACUCCUGCCGCUGCUGCUCCGUGUCCUGUUUCCACUCCCGCUUCCUUGCCGGCUUCUGGUGCUGAUGCCGAUGCCAAUCCCAAUCCCGGUACCGCUCCCGCUGAUAACGUCGCACAACAUGCCAUAAGCUGCCCGAGUGCCGAUUGCCAACUAGCGACUGCUCAUUUGACCGUUCCCAUCCCGCUUGGCCCCUUGGGGUGCGAAGUGCCAAACAGCAGCGGAAGUACACUUAAAGAAAUAUAAAUCCAUAUAAAAGAAUAAAUUCACUUGGAAGGAAAUGGAAUAGGUAUUUAAAGAGUAGCCAAACCUAACGACUGAAAUACAACAAAGCAUGGCGCCGCAGGAGAAAUUCAUCAUCUUGCUUGGCCGCUGGUGCCAUAUCCUUAAAUCUAAUUACGACUUAAUCGACGCCACUGGCGACAGUUGCAGCGAAAAUGAAGCAGUUUGCCGGACUCCGGGAGAAGGGGUCGCGGGCGCACCAGGACGAACCACCACCAUGAGCACCAGGAGCAACCACAGGCGACUUCCACCACCGGGCUUAUGAUGCUCAAUUGAUAAAGUCAAGUCCGGACACAGUCCCAUGUGCUGCCAUAUCCUCUUCCACUGCUCCCAUUCCGCAUCCCCCAUCCCAAUUUCGAUCGCAUCCCCCGCCGCUUUUCGCCAACUGCCACGCUUUACAUGUGUUAAUCACAGAAUGGCACUGCUGCUCCUGGUCUCAUUCUGGCUCUUUUGUCUUCUGGCCAGCGCAUUGUUAGUUUUAAUUGUCUAAAAAGCGCGAACAACAAUGCACUUGGCAGCCCACUAGUGGCAAUAGCAGUUGCAAUACCCGUAACAACAAUCCCAGCAAGGACGAUGCUCGAGAGGAAAUCACUGCGAAUGCGGGAUACUCAGCCAAAGUUAAGUGGCUAAUAAAUAAAACAGCCCAUCACAUUCAUCAUUGUUUUUGCCAAUUUCAAGGGCCCCGUGAAUUGGUUUGAGCUUUAGGAAAUAAUUAUUUCACUAACGUGUAAUUUGGUCAAACAACAUAGAUUCACUUAUGAUAUUACAUAUAAACAGCUUGGGUGGGUCCUUCUUAAAUAAAUAUCCAUCAUAUAUAUAUUAAAAA